CCUGAAAAGACAUUAAGUGUAUAGCAAAGACUCCAGCUUGAGCUUCAGUUGUGCUUCAGGGAAAACGGUACUAGAAGAUAGCUACUGGAUUGCUUUAUUAUUACACAGUCUCCCAAACAACUUCUAUUUAAAGAAAAGGGAAGUGUUGAUUAUUCCUGGGCAAGAUGGCUGAAUAGGAGCAGCUCCAGUCUGCAGCUUCCAACGAGACCAACGCAAAAGGUCAGUGAUUUGUGCAUUUCCAACUAAGGUACCCGGUUCAUCUCACUGAGACUGGUUAGAUAGUGGGUGCAGCCCCCAGAGGGUGAGCAGAAGCAGGGUGGAGUGUCGCCUCACCUGGGAAGCGCAAGGGGUCGGGGAACUUCCUUUCCUAGCCAAGGGAAGCCAUGAGGGACCAUGCUGUGAGGGAUGGUGCUAUCCAGCUCAGACACUGUGCUUUUCCCAUGGUCUUCGCAAUCCGCAGACCAGGAGAUUCCCUCAGGUGCCUACACCACCAAGGCCCUGGGUUUCAAGCACAAAACUGGGCGGCCAUUUGGGCAGACACUGAGCUAACUGGAGGAGCUUUUUUCUUGUCCUAGUGGCACCUGGAACGCCAGUGAGACAGAACCGUUCACUCCCCUGGAAGGGGGGCUGAAGCCAGGGAGCCAAGUGGUCUUGCUCAGCAGAUCCCACCCCCAAAGAGCCCAGCAAGCUAAGAUCCACUGGCUUGAAAUUCUUGCUGCCAGCACAGUCAGACUUCACAGUCUGAAGUCAACCUGAGAUGCUCGAGCUUGGUGGGGGGAGGGGUGCCCGAGCUUGGUGGGGGAAGGGGCGCCCGCCAUUACUGAGGCUUGAGUAGUCGGUUUUCCUCACACAGUGUAAACAAAGCCGCCUGGAAGUUCGGACCCACCGCAGCUCAGCAAAGCCGCUAUAGCCAGACUGCCUCUCUAGAUUCCUCCUCUCUGGGCAGGACAUCUCUGAAAGAAAGGCAGCAGCCCCAGUCAGGGGCUUAUAGCUAAAAGUCCCAUCUCUCUGGGACGGAGCACCUGGGGGAAUGGGGAGCUGUGGGCGCCCUUAAGCGUUCCUGCCUGCUGGCUCUGAAGAGAGCAGUGGAUCUCCCAGCACAGUGCUAGAGCUCUGCUAAGGGUCAGACUGCCUCCUCAAGUGGGUCCCUGAACCCCGUGCCUCCCGAAAAGGAGACACCUCCCAGCAGGGGUGGACAGACACGUCAUACAGGAAAGCACUGGCUGGCAUCUGGCAGGUGCCCCUCUGGGACGAAGCUUCCAGAGGAAGGAACAGACAGCAAUCUUUGCUGUUCUGCAGCCUCCACUGGUGAUACCCAGGCAAACAGGGUCUGGAGUGGAACCCCAGCAAACUCCAGCAGACCUACAGAAGAGGGGCCUGACAGAAGGAAAACUAACAAAAAGAAAGCAAUAGCAUCAACAUUAACAAAAAGGAUGACCAUGCAAAAACUCCAUCCAAAGGUCACCAACAGCAAAGACCAAAGGUAGAUAAAUCCAUGGAGAUGAGGAAAAACCAGCACAAAAAGGCUGAAAAUUCCAAAAACCAGAAUGCCUCUUCUCCUCCAGAGGAUCACAACACCUGGCCAGCAAGGGAACAAAACUGGAUGGAGAAUAAGUUUGAUGAAUUGACAGAAGUAGGCUUCAGAAGGUGGGAAAUAACAAACUUCUCCAAGCUAAAGGAGCAUGUUAUAACCCAAUGCAAGGAAGCUAAGAACCUUGAUAAAAGGUUAGAGGAAUUGCUAACUAGAAUAACUAGUUUAGAAAAGAACAUAAAUGACCUGAUGGAACUGAAAAACACAGCACGAGAACUUCGUGAAGCAUACGCAAGUAUCAAUAGCCGAAUCAAUCAAGCAGAACAAAGGAUAUCAGAGAUUGAAGAUCAACUUAAUGAAAUAAAGCAUGAAGACAAGAUUAGAGAAAAAAGAAUAAAAA